rnacentral:rRNA from 1 species
AGAAUCAACGCUGGCGGCGUGCCUAGCACAUGCAAGUCGAACGAGAAAGUGGAGCAAUCCAUGAGUAAAGUGGCGCACGGGUGAGUAACACGUGACUAACCUACCUUCGAGUGGGGGAUAACCUCGGGAAACCGAGGCUAAUACCGCAUAACAUCGUGAGAUCAAAGCAGUAAUGCGCUGGAAGAGGGGGUCGCGGCUGAUUAGCUAGUUGGCGGGGUAAUGGCCCACCAAGGCGAAGAUCGGUA